AGGCGCCGUACGCCGCGAGGCCGGCGCCGCCGAUCCCGGCGGCGACGACUCCCGAGAUCGCGACCCGGCGGCGGAUGC
rnacentral:tRNA from 1 species